rnacentral:tRNA from 1 species
GGGCCUGUAACUCAGUGGGAGAGUGUACGCCUGAUAAGCGUAAAGUCGAUCGUUCAAUUCGCUCCAGGCCCA